GUAUUACAUUUGUUUGGCUCAUUACAAGCCUAUCAAAACAUUCUACAAAGUUAUACUUGGGUAUAUAAAUACCACGUAGCCAAAGUCAACAAUCUGAAUUUUUUAAUACUGAAUACUUGAAUUCCUGCACUGACGGUACAAGAUCAUGGAAGAUCUAUCAACGGUACACACAGUUCAACUUUCCUCAAGUAUCAAAUCAAAUUUAUUGUCUCCUUCGUCUACAGUAAGGUGCACAGGUGAAGAUAAAGAUUUCAGGAGUGCACAAUGCAAGACCUUAACGAUCUUGCCAGCACAUCCUUUUAGAAUCAAUAAUGAUCCUUCCGCAGGUUCACCUACGGAAA
rnacentral:misc_RNA from 1 species